CGGCGGUUGCGGUGCUUGCCCUGCCCCGGCUCCGGCACUGCACACAAAGAUGCCAAGUUUCCUUUUGGGAUAAGCUGUAGAGAAACAAGAACUCUGACAUAAUCCCCUAGACAGAAAGAGAAAGAAACGGAGAGGACAAUGUAGGAAAGGCAGCAAAAACAAGGAAAUUGAGGAAUUACUUAAAAAAAAAAAGCUGCGAGUCACUCCUACAGGACGCAACGCUCCCAGUUUCUCCCAGCCGCCAGCCUGGAGGGGCCAAAUGCCGCCGGAUCUGAUCCACAGAUUCUGCGCUCCCAAAAAUCGCGGAGGAAGACAGGGCUUUUCAAAAGGUAAUGAAUGUGAAAAGGAUGGAACCUACCAAGGAGAGGAAAAGACACCAGUUCUGAGUGCACAGUGGAGAUGCCACCCAAGACAUGGCCAGGAGCUGGCCAGGGAGACAGCCCUCGGGAGAAAGCAAGACAACUUUCUUAAUCUUCCAGCCUCCAGAACUGCAAGAACACAAAUCUCUCUG
rnacentral:lncRNA from 1 species